AGAGUGCCGGCGCUGUCGGGGAGCUCCUGCCCUGACAUUGCUGGCUUUGAAGAUGGUGGAAGGAGAUCAAUCAAGGAAGCAGGUGGCCUCUAAAAGCUGGAAAAAGUACAGAGAGCCUCCACCUUGAUCUUGGCCCAGUUAGAACCCUGUCAGGCUUCCUUCUACUGAGCUGUAAAGAAAUCUGAAGGUGGCAAUUCAGAGCUGGCAUGGCAAUUCCAUGUUCAUCAGGGACCCAGAAUUCUUCAUAUUUCUGCUCCUGCAUUUCCUACACUUGGUUCGCUUUCUCAAAGUCACCUCAUAGUUCAAACUGCUGCUGGAUAUCCAGUCAUUACAGCCAUUUUCCAGGAUGAUUAACCCUGAGCUAACAUCUACUGCCCAUCCUCCUUUCUUUGCUGAGGAAGACGGGCCGGGAGCUAACAUCUGUGCCCAUCUUCCUCUAUUUUAUAUGUGGGAUGCCUGCCACAGCAUGGCUUGACAAGUGGUGCAUAGGUCCACACCCAGGAUCCGAACAGGUAAAAUCUGGGCUGCAGAAGUGGAAUGUGAGAACUUAACUGCUGUGCCACUUGGCUGGCCCCUAAAGGUAAUUUUCCUGAAGUGUUUUAUGUUAUUGCUUGCAUGAUUAUGCUUUUGUUGUAGUUGUAUACUACUCCAUUGUGUGGGUAUAGCACAUUUUAUUUAUGUAUUCACUUAUGAGCAUUUUUCCUGCUUCCAGUUCUUGGCUGUUAUGAAUAAAGCUGCUAUGAUCAUUCAGGCAUAAUUUAUAUAGAUAUCCUUUUUCCUGUUUCUUGCAUAAAUACUUAGGAGUGGGAUUGCUGGGAAAAAUGGUAGGUGUAUGUUUAACAUUAUAAGAUGAUGCCACAAUGUUUUCUAAAGUGGUUGUGACAUUUUGGAAUUCCCGUAUUCCAGUUGUUCCACAUCCUUGCCUAUGCUUGAUAUUAUAGGUCUUUCAGAUUUUAGCCAUUCUAGUGGUUCUAAUGGGUAUGAGGUAAUAUCUCAUUGUGAUUUUCAUACACAUUUCUGUGAUGGCUAACGCUGUUGAGCAGGUUUUCAUGUGGAUGUAAGCCAAUUAUAUAUCUUUUGUGAAAUGUCAUCCAUGUCUUUGCUAUAUUUUUGUAGAGUUGUUUGUCUUCUAAUUGUUGACUUGAAAGAAUUUUGGCUAUUUUAGAGAGUUGCAUUCAUAUAAAGUUUAGUCACUUUGUCACUUGUUAUAAAAGCUUGCUAGAAUUAUAAUAGGGAUGGAAUUGGCUUUAUAGGUCAACUUGGGGAAUCUGGACUUUUAGCAAUAGUGAGUUUUUCCAUUAAUAGCUAUGACAGAACUCUCCAUUUAUUUAGGUCUCAUUUUUUCUCGGCUAUGUCUGUAGUGUUUAGUUUAGAGGUCCUGCAUAUAUUGUUAAAUUUAUUUUCAAUUAUUUUCUUUUUAAUACUGUUUUAGAUAGUAUUUUUAUUUCUUUCUCCAGUUACUUGUUACUACUAUAUAUAGAAAUACAAUCCUUUUAUUUUAUAUUAGCCAUAUGUCCUGUGGCCUUGAUAAACUUACCUAUUAAUCUUAGUAGAUUUUUUUUGGUAGAUUCCUUAGAAUACACACACACACACACACACACACACAGAUUUUUUUCAAUAUAUAUUCUUUUAUAUAUGUCUUUUACUUAUUUUUCUUUAAUACACUUGCUAGGAUCUCUAGUAACAUGUGGAAAAGAUACAGUGAAAAUUUACAUUCUUGCCUUGUUCCCAAUCAUAGAGGGAAAGUAUUUAGUUUUUCACCAUUAUAUAUGAUACCAGCUACAAGUUUUCAUAGAUACCUUUAUCAGGUUGAGAAAGUUUUAUUGUAUUCCUAAUUUUCUGAGUUUUUUGUCAUGAAUGGGUGUUGACUUUGAUCAAUUUUCACCUUUAUUUUCUUUAUAUCUGCCUUCCUUAUAUAAAGCCUACAUGAUCUUAAAAUAGGACGCUUUUUAUAUUUUGCUGAAUUGGAUUUGCUUAUAUUUUUUUAAGGAGUCAUGCACUUAUUGGUCUAUGAUUUUUCCUCUCUAAUAAUGUCCUUGCCAGUUUUCUCUAUCAGAACCUCAUAGAAUGGGAAAACAUCAUUAUUCCUCUGCAUUUUAAGGGAGUUUGUGAAAGAUUGGUGUUACUUCUUCCUUAAAUAUUUGGGAUUCAUCAAAGAGACUAUGUAAGUCUGUGCUUUCCUUCAAGGGAAGAUUUUGAUUAUGAAUUCAAUUUAUUUACUAUGUUAUAUAUAUUAACUGUAUCAAUAAUAUGACUAUUCAGAUUUUCUAUUUCUAUUCAGUUCAAUUUUGAUAGCAUUUUCUAGGA
ensembl:lncRNA